rnacentral:rRNA from 1 species
GACGAACGCUGGCGGCGUGCUUAACACAUGCAAGUCGAACGGAAAGGCCCUGCUUUUGUGGGGUGCUCGAGUGGCGAACGGGUGAGUAACACGUGAGUAACCUGCCCUUGACUUUGGGAUAACUUCAGGAAACUGGGGCUAAUACCGGAUUGGAGCUCCUGCUGCAUGGUGGGGGUUGGAAAGUUUCGGCGGUUGGGGAUGGACUCGCGGCUUAUCAGCUUGUUGGUGGGGUAGUGGCUUACCAAGGCUUUGACGGGUAGCCGGCCUGAGAGGGUGACCGGCCACAUGGGGACUGAGAUACGGCCCGGACUCCUACGGGAGGCAGCAGUAGGGAAUAUUGCACAAUGGGCGGAAGCCUGAUGCAGCAACGCCGCGUGCGGGAUGACGGCCUUCGGGUUGUAAACCGCUUUCGCCUGUGACGAAGCGUGAGUGACGGUAAUGGGUAAAGAAGCACCGGCUAACUACGUG